rnacentral:rRNA from 1 species
UGCAAGUCGAGCGGCAGCGGGAAAGUAGCUUGCUACUUUUGCCGGCGAGCGGCGGACGGGUGAGUAAUGCCUGGGGAUCUGCCCAGUCGAGGGGGAUAACUACUGGAAACGGUAGCUAAUACCGCAUACGCCCUACGGGGGAAAGCAGGGGACCUUCGGGCCUUGCGCGAUUGGAUGAACCCAGGUGGGAUUAGCUAGUUGGUGAGGUAACGGCUCACCAAGGCGACGAUCCCUAGCUGGUCUGAGAGGAUGAUCAGCCACACUGGAACUGAGACACGGUCCAGACUCCUACGGGAGGCAGCAGUGGGGAAUAUUGCACAAUGGGGGAAACCCUGAUGCAGCCAUGCCGCGUGUGUGAAGAAGGCCUUCGGGUUGUAAAGCACUUUCAGCGAGGAGGAAAGGUCAGUAGCUAAUAUCUGCUGGCUGUGACGUUACUCGC